AUGGCCGCUGUGUGUCAGCCACGACGCGCCUUGGUGGAGAUACCGACCCCCCAGCCCAAGAUUGCAGCUCGAAUGAGGAGAUCCUACCUGGAGAUCCUGAGCGCUCGUUUGGCUCCAUCUCCGCUUCCGAGAGGGAGAAACCCGAACACGAAGCGCGGCCCCCAGCUGGACGUGUCGAUCGGAGCCGUGUGGAGUGGGAGGAUGGAGCAGCAGUGCGAGAAGAUGGAGGAGCACCACGCGCCUCUCUCCAAACAGCAGCUUGUGCAGCUCAUCAGGUCGCUCAUCUUGGUUGAGCAGAGCCAGGAGCCCAGGACCCUGACGUCGGACCUGAAGUAUCUCCAGGAAGAUCUGCAGCUAAAGAAAGCCAAUGUUUUCCGGUCCAUUCCGUACUCGCGGCUCGGCUCCAACCGGGACGCUCACUGCUACAGAAAAGCGUAUCCUCACCUGGUGGCUUUCAAAGUUUCCUGUCAGGAAUGGGGACAGGUUCUCCUGAGGAACAAAGAGUGGAAAUCUGUGUUGGAGCACACAUUGAUGGCGUGGCGCUACACCAGCGAGCUGCCGCACUGGGAUACGGCGAACCACAACGCUCUCCGACAACAGUGUUACGAUAUUUUGGCAGCAAACAGCCUCGCUGCUCUCCAGCACCACCAGCCGGGACCCGACAGAGGACGCGAGCUGCUCAGAAGGUGGAAUAUGGCUCAGUCGCACAGCCAGUCAAUCGUGCCCUGUAUUGAGGCGCUGCAGAGGAUUAUGGGAUGCGCCGUCCUCUUCUCCAUGGACACCAAAUAG
ensembl:lncRNA